GUUGUUGCUAAUGGAAGAAUCGUUCUAACCAUGAAAUCACUUCAUCAUCCCCAAGCAGCAUAGAAGAAGAAAUCACAUCCAGCAACAAUUCUUAAGGGGAAGAAAAAAAUGGCAUAUGCUGCAAUGAGACCCAUUAAGCCUGGUUUGAAAGAAUCUCAGGAACAGAUCCAUAAGAUUAGGAUCAUACGUUGGGAAGAAGAUGAAGAAAGUAAUAUAAUUAGGUGUUGGAAGAAGAUCCAUUAGAUCUGAUAGCCACCUUUAUUCAACGGUCUUCAUUUUGAGAGGUUUAAAAUCAAUAAAAUAGGACCAAAUUGAUGAUAAAAACAAAGAUAAAGGACCAAUUUAAAGUGUUUAAUAGUUAGGGGACCAAUUCGAAAAAAAGAAUUAAGUUAAAGGACCAAACGACGUAUUAAGCCUUAAAAGGAAAUAUCAUACAUGUUGUUUUGCAGUUUAAA
rnacentral:lncRNA from 1 species